GUGCUUUGUGCAGUGAAUAAUUGCAUGUUCAGUACUGUCAAUCGUAUAACAAGAGUCACAAAAUGGCGAAUUCGCUCUACGAUACCUGUGCAACAGUUGAGUCGUGUCCAACAUUUGCAAUCUAGUUUUACUGAUUGCAACUUCCAUUUUCCUGUCGAUGUUUAAGGGGCGAAUUCAAGAGCAACGCUUGUCAUGGUAAUCGCACUUGCAUUGCAAAACCGAAUUCAAGUGCAACGCUUUUCGGACACGCCUACUGAAAAUACGUCACUACCAUAGAGGAAUUUUGCGGCUACUCCUGACCUGCCGCAAACUCUUAACAGCGACUGUAAACAAGAUGGCUGAAGUGAUUUUGCUCAGACGUUUAAGAAUUCGGAGAAAUGCUGAUCGAAUCCCUUGGCAUUUAAGAGACAGUCGUAAUGCUUUUGAAAUGGUGGAGCGUGAAUUCAUCAGUUGAUUCAGAUUAAAUCGGUUUGCUUCAAUGAAUUGAAACCUUUUCUGAAGGCAACUGCCAAUGGAUAUUCUCUGCAAAAGCAGGUAUGGAAUGCUGGUCUGAGGGUUCUCUAUGCUAUAGGACAAUGGCCAGGCAAUACUCAUGAUGCAUUUAUAUGGAGUGGACUGAAACAAAAUCUAGAUAGUAUUUUGUCGCAUCGUGCAUAUCUUUGGGAGAUAGUGGAUUAUAUUCCCAUUUUAUCACGGGAAUAUCUCUAUAAUGAGAAGCACAGAAAAGUUCGUGCAGCUAUAGAGAUCAAAUCAAGAUUUAGGGUACUGCACGAUACUGGUGGAACACUAUUGUAUUCACAAAGCAAAAUAUGUAAAAUGGUCAUAUCUGGUGGCCAUUUUACAUAAUAUAUGCUUAAGGUAUUGUGUUGAAAAUCCUGAGAUUGAUGUGUUUGAAGAUGAUGAGUUGGUACCUUCAGAAAGUUUUCAGUCAGUGCAUGUUGAAAUUGCAUUGCACAAUGAAUUAUCUUUAAAUUUUGAAACUCGAUAAUAAAAACCCAAAGUGGGCAACAAUGAACCUCUGGCAAAGGUGAAACCCCCUUCAUGGAUAAUAAAGAAUAUAUUAUGAAAAAAUUACUUUCAUAAUAUAUUCUUGGGGA